CUUUCUCUACUCUUUUCGUUGUUACUUUCAUGGUGAUUCUCUAUUAAAAGCAAACACAUCAACCUCCAUUGUUGCCUUGGAUAUGAGAGUUGAAAGAAUAAGAGACCACACAUCGGCAUGGAAUGGACAUGCGUAUACACAAGAAUUAUUAACAAGAUCAAGCACAGUCAAAUAUGUUACAACGACAAAGAAACCUAAGAUUUGCUUAGUCUGUGAAUUUGAAUAGAAUUUAAUAUUCUUAUGUUUUGCAAAAUUAAAUGAAUCUUGAUGUAAGAGAAUAU